rnacentral:rRNA from 1 species
UACGAAGGGGGCUAGCGUUGCUCGGAUUGACUGGGCGUAAAGGGCGCGUAGGCGGUUCGUACAGUCAGACGUGAAAUUCUUGGGCUCAACCUGGGGGCUGCGUUUGAUACGUGCGGACUUGAGUGCGGAAGAGGGUCGUGGAAUUCCCAGUGUAGAGGUGAAAUUCGUAGAUAUUGGGAAGAACACCGGUGGCGAAGGCGGCGACCUGGUCCGAUACUGACGCUGAGGCGCGAAAGCGUGGGGAGCAAACAGG